UCCUAGCCAUCAGAGUGAGCAUGAUAAC
rnacentral:piRNA from 1 species